CAAGAAAGAACCAAGAACUGCUA
rnacentral:tRNA from 1 species